CAGAAGGAGAGCGCUCGCGCAAGUGUUGGAUCAGUCCUUCAGAGGGAUCUGAGGAAACGGCGGGAGGCGCGUGCUCAUUUGUGACUGCACCUCAUUCUGGUGGGAGUCCAAACGCUACCUUCACGAGACUUUUUAGGCUUUUUCCCUAACGGUUUUAACGGUCGGAGGUACCUCGGAAGCGUGGAGCGGAGUACUUUUUCCAAACAUGAGAUUCCACAACAGCAUCGGAAUGUUCGUCCUCACGACGUUGAGCGCGUUAACUUCAGUUUUAUCGGCGAGUAACUAUUACUGUGAAGAGCCACUGAUGACAUCACUACCCCCUUCAUCCUUCCAGAACUCAUCAAAAUUUUCUGACAGGAGGUCACCACACUAUGCUAAACUCAACAGAAAAGAUGGUGGUGGGGGAUGGUCUCCGAGUGGAGAAGACCAACAACCUUGGCUACAGCUGGACCUAAGGGACAGGUUGAAAGUCACAUCUAUUGCUACCCAGGGUCGCUGGGGCAGCUCUGACUGGGUGGCCCGAUACCAGCUACAGUAUAGUGACUCUGGACGAACCUGGAGACCAUAUAGACAAGAAGAAGUGAUAUGGACGUUUACAGGAAACAGUGACACAGACACAGUGGUCCAACACAAACUCCCUCACUCAAUCAGAACUCGAUAUAUGCGUCUUCUGCCCCUUGAGGGAAGCCCCAGAGGAGGAAUGGGUCUACGGCUAGAGGUCUAUGGCUGCACAUACAAGUCAGACGUAGCUGACUUCGACGGUCGCAGUGCCUUACUCUACCGGUUCAACCAGAAGUCCACCAGCACAGUGAAAGACGUGAUAUCCCUGAGAUUCCGGAGCCAUCAGGCAGAAGGUGUUCUGGUUCACGGAGAGGGACAGAGAGGAGAUUUCCUCACUCUGGAGCUUCAGAGAGGAAAACUCAUUUUGCAUCUCAAUUUGGACGAUGCCAAGCCCCAGUCUAGCGGUCGCUCAUCUUCUGUCACAUUAGGAAGCCUGCUGGAUGACCACCACUGGCACUCUGUUCAGAUUGAGCGCUUUAACAAACAUGUCAACUUCACCGUGGAUGGACACACGCAACACUUCCGCAGUCAAGGACAAGAGGACACACUAGAGAUAGACUAUGAGCUUAGUUUCGGAGGAAUCCCUUUGCCUGGCAAGCCUGGGACGUUUCUCCAUGAAAAUUUCCAUGGCUGCAUAGAGAACCUCAACUACAAUGGUGUCAAUGUCAUCGACAUGGCAAAGAGACGGAAGCCACAAAUCUAUACCGUGGGAAAUGUGACGUUCUCGUGCUCUGAGUCUUCCUCAGUCGCUGUGACGUUCCUCAGUUCCACAGGCAGCUUCCUGGCACUCCCUGCCGAUUAUUUUACGGAGGGUCUCUCUGUACGCCUUCAGUUCCGCACAUGGAAUCAGGAAGGGCUGCUGUUCUCAGUCCCGCUCUCUUAUGAUCUGGACCCUAUUAACCUGCUUCUGCAGCUCAGCCAGGCCCGGCUGCUCCUCUCUAUCUCUGGAGGGCCACAAAACUCUGCUCAGGUUUUCAGUGGUCAGAAUUUGAGCGAUGGACAGUGGCAUUCCAUAGUUGUCGGGGUCAAGGGUCAGAAAGUGUCUUUAACAGUCAACAACCAGAAGCCUGUCGCCAUGGAAAUCAUUGGCCUUAGCCAGAACGUGCAAAAAACAACCAUCUACAUUGGAGGCUGCCCUUUAUUCCAGAGCAAUUUCAUCUGUGAGAACCCCAGCAGAGGAUUUCAGGGCUGUAUUCGCCUCCUUUUCAUCAACAACCAUCCAGUCAACUUCCUUCAGAUUCAGCAGGAAAGCCUGAGCAACUUUAGCCAGCUUAGCUUUGAUGUUUGCAACAUACAGGACAGGUGUUUGCCCAAUCUGUGUGAACACGGAGGUCAGUGCAUCCAGUCAUGGGACCAGUUUUACUGUGAUUGUUCUGGAACAGGAUACACAGGAGCCACCUGCCACAACUCAAUAUAUGAGCGAUCCUGUGAGGCCUUCAGGAAAACAGGAAGCCAGUCGAGUGUGUUUACAAUCGACCUUGAUGGGAGCGGACCUCUAGAGCACACUCAAGUUAACUGCACCAUGGCAGAAGAUAAAGUUUGGACUGUGGUGGGGCACGAUCACACGAGGCCCAUUGACAUUCGAGGAUCCACUCCACGCAGCCCUUUCGUUCUCAUCUUCAACUACACCAUCUCACCAUACCAUCUCCGCUCGCUCGUGACCUCCUCGGAACACUGCCAACAGGAAGUGAUAUAUCGCUGCAGGAAGUCUCGGCUUUUUGACACCUGGGAUGGAACGCCUCUGUCAUGGUGGCUGGAUAGAGAUGGAGUGAAACGAACAUACUGGGGAGGAUUUCUGCCUGGGGUCCAGCAGUGUUCUUGUAGCUUGGAUGGCAACUGCAGGGACAUGAAUUACUUCUGCAACUGUGAUGCAGACCAAGACACUUGGGCAAAUGAUACUGGUGUGCUGUCUUACAAAGACCAUUUACCCCUUAGUGAGAUCGCCAUCGGAGACACAAACCGGACAAACUCACAGGCCGAGCUUCAAAUUGGACCGCUGCGUUGCUAUGGCGACCGAUUUUUCUGGAACUCUGCAUCUUUUUACCAGGAAUCCUCCUAUCUGCACUUCCCCACCCUGCAAGCCGAACUGAGCGUUGAUAUUUCACUCUUUUUCAAAACUAGUGCUCUCUCAGGAGUCUUCUUGGAGAAUCUGGGUGUCAGAGACUUCAUAAGGCUAGAACUUAGUUCUCCUUCUACAAUGAACUUCACCUUUGACCUUGGGGAUGGACCAGUAAUUCUUACCGUUCGAUCACCUGUAGUCUUAAAUGAUCGUCAAUGGCAUUAUAUUCGUGCUGAGCGAAAUGUGAAAGAAGCUUCUCUGCAGGUUGACUCGCUGCCACUGGAGCUAACCGAAGCACCGUCUGAAAGACCCUAUCGGCUUCAGCUCAGCAGUCAACUCUUUGUGGGAGGAACGGCUUCUAGACAGAGGGGCUUUCUGGGCUGCUUACGUGCCCUCACCAUUAAUGGGGUUACCCUUGACCUUUAUGAGCGUGCAAAGACCACCCCUGGGGUAAAUUCAGGCUGUCCGGGUCACUGCACAAGUGACAGCAUCUGCCAUAACGGAGGGAGAUGUGUCGAAGAGAGAAGCAGUUACACCUGCGACUGCACACAGACAGCCUUCGAUGGGCCACACUGCAGAACAGCUCUAGCAGCUUCCUUUGAAAGUGGGUCUUCAGUCUUGUACACUCUCCAGGAGCCAUUUUCCGGGAUACUGAAUGAGGAAGCCAGAAGAUCACCGGCCCGCUUCCAUGAUGCAGAAGUUACCAAAUCUCAAGAGAAAGUGUCGUUUGGGUUCUUGACGCAUCACGUGCCUGCCUUGAUCCUGACAGCUCACACUCUUGACCAGCACUAUAUGGCUGUUAUGCUAUCAUCAAACGAAAAGAAUUUGGCACCAUCUCUCUCAUCAAGAGAACACAUGACUGGCUAACAUGUCUUGCACAGCAGAUAGCAAUGCAUAUAAAUCUUUGACAUGAAGGCAUAAAAAAGGGAGAAAGGUGGCAAAAAAAGAAGCACUGAGGCGAGGAGCAGGAAAUGCAGAACAGAAGGAAAGUAUGCUUAAGGAAAGACUGAGCAUGAAAAUCAAUGAAUUAAAGCUAGGAAGCAAGCUAUAAAGGCUAUAAAGAAUACUUAAUGACAGAGAAGGGAGAACUAGUGGAUGGAGUCAGUCUUGUUCCACCUACAAAAGAAAUGAUAAUUCACAUGAGAAUUUUUCUAGUGCAGAGGUAAUUGCAGAGACUUGCUUGGUCCUGCUAUCCCAAAUGACUUAAACAUGUUCAAGCAUUCAUAAUUCUCAAAUUGUUAAUUGCAGUGAAAAAAACCUAAUUAUUACUUAAUUAACUAAAGAGUAGUGUAAUACAAAACUGAAAUGUUCUGAAAUAUUACAUUUUAAAAGAACUGUUUUUUAUUUGAAUAUAUUUUAAAAAGUAAUUUAUUCCUGUGAUGACAAAGCUGAAUUUUCAGCAUCAUUACUUCAGUCUUCGAUGUCAAACGAUCCUUCAGAAAUGAUUCUGAUAUGCUGCUCGUGUAACAUUUUUUAUUAUUAUCAGUGUUAAAAACAAUUGUUUUGCUUUAUUUUUUUAUUUUUUUUUUGGAACUCAUGAUAGAUUUUUUUAGGAUUCUUUGAUGAAUAGUUUAAAAGAACAGAAUUUAUUUGCAAUUGAAAUCCUUUGUAACAUUGUAAAUGUUUUACUGUCAUUUUUGAUUUAUUCGAUGUAUCCUUGCUGAAUAAAAGUAUUAAUUUCUUUUAAAAAAAAUCGUUCUAACCCAAAACUUUUAAAUGGUCAUUUUAAACAUAUUUUUUAAAAAGGUGCUAUUCAUUUUGUGUGUGUGUGUGUGUGUGUAUGAGAAAUUACAUAGCUUUCUGCAAUACUUGAUUCUUAUUAGUCAAUCGCAGUGAUCUGUGGUCAAAUAUAUUUAUUUAUACUACGGUGCUGUUGAAUGCUCGAAUCUGAUUGGUUGACCAACGUUCUAAGGUGUGCAGUUAUUUUCAGGGAAACGGCUAAAGUAGUUCUAGGCAGGUCUUGACCACAUUGCAGUUCCAUAUCACUUUGCCAAAUGAUUUCAGUUAUUUCAAUAAGUCCUACAACCUACAACCACAAAACCCACACCGACACUGACUAAGCAAAUAAAUAUAGUAAACAAUAGGAUGAAAACAACAAAUUAUUGUCAUGUUUUUUGCCACAAAAUACGUUUUAUUUUGUCCUGAAAUUACUCUCGCGUGCUCUCUCUGUUUCAAACGUACACACGUACACAUGUACUGUAUCGUAUGGACACACACUCGCACAGAAACAUUUUGUCAGCGCUGCUCUGAUGAAUUAAUCAGUAAAAUAGUUUAGCAACUUAAAAGCUACAUGACAUUUCUCACCAGCGAGGUAAUAACUGUGCGGUUCUUGUGGUAGAUAAAUGUAUAGUUUCACUAUAAGUAGAGACACUGCUGCCGUGAGAGAUGCACUGACUCAGGUAGGCUAAUUCACAUAUGCUUAUUCUCUCUCUCUCUCUCUCUCUCUCUCUCUCUCUCAAGUGCGUUAAUAACUCUAUCAAUGGUAUUAUUCUGCUAUCAAGGCUUAAGCCUCCGUUACUAGUUCUGAAAUGACGUUUUGGAAUUAGCAACAGAGGCUUGGGAUGAGGUGCGUAAGAAAUUAGUCCCACACACAAGAGUGUUUUAAGGACAAAAACCUGACAAAAGUCUUGAAAUACAACAUCAGAACAGUGACUUGAGGUGUGGUAACUGUAGUUUAAGCAGAAUAAUUGACUCCAGGCUGUUGAAUUCUUCACGUUGUGGCCACAUUACCACCUCAGGAUUGUGCAUUAUUUUCUAAGAAUUCAACAGCCCGUCGUCAAUUAUUCCUUACAUCAUAAUCACUGAACAGUAUAACUGACAUUGUCCUAAACUAACAAUUUCCUACUUAACUGCUAGUGUAAUGUUUGUCAUAUCCACACACCUUUUUUUUCCGCACAUAAUAAGAUGACUUCAACUCAAAUCAAUAUUUCUUGUCUAUUAAUUUAUUUCUUUAAGUAGCCAUGUGUCAUUAUCACAAACCCCUUCAUGGUGAAACAAAAACACUUUACACUGUGGACUUGAACACCCUGUUGGAGUUUAUUUUGCAACCCAUUACUUAUCUCUGUUGAAAUUUAAAGCAUUAUUCCUUCUUGUCAUGCUACAACCCUGCAUUCAUUGCAUCAAACAAAUAUCUUAUGACUUUAAGUCAAUAGCUUUUACUCUGAUUUCCCAGGCAGCCUGCAAAUACGAUACUUGUUGAACAAAGAAAAAAGAACAGAAACGUUCAGCCCAAAGUCAGCCAGUCUAGCAGACGGACGGUUCCACUGGGUCAAAAUCAAUCGAAAGGGACAGGAACUCCUUGUCCAGAUUGACAGCACAGUAACCCAGCAGUACAGCCUGUCUCCUGGCUCUGCUCUCAGCCCGGUGAGGUCAGUG